rnacentral:misc_RNA from 1 species
UUUCCGUAGGUGUACCUGCGGAAGGAUCAUUAUUGUAUAACCGAGGUGCGAGGGCUGUCGCUGACCCGAAAGGUCGUGCACGCCCGAGUGCCCUCACACACAUCCAUCUCACCCCUAUGUGCACCACCGCGUGGGUCCCCCUUUGGCUUGUUCGGAGGGGGGCUUACGUUUUCACACAAACUUUGUAUGCAGUGUAGAAUGUAUUUUUUGUUUUUGCGAUCACGCAAUCAAUACAACUUUCAACAACGGAUCUCUUGGCUCUCGUAUCGAUGAAGAACGCAGC